rnacentral:rRNA from 1 species
UACGAAGGGGGCUAGCGUUGCUCGGAAUCACUGGGCGUAAAGCGCACGUAGGCGGCUUCUUAAGUCAGGGGUGAAAUCCUGGAGCUCAACUCCAGAACUGCCUUUGAUACUGGAAAGCUCGAGUCCGGAAGAGGUGAGUGGAACUGCGAGUGUAGAGGUGAAAUUCGUAGAUAUUCGCAAGAACACCAGUGGCGAAGGCGGCUCACUGGUCCGGUACUGACGCUGAGGUGCGAAAGCGUGGGGAGCAAACAGG